rnacentral:rRNA from 1 species
CGGCGGACGGGUGAGUAACACGUGGAUAACCUACCUAUAAGACUGGGAUAACUUCGGGAAACCGGAGCUAAUACCGGAUAAUAUAUUGAACCGCAUGGUUCAAUAGUGAAAGACGGUUUUGCUGUCACUUAUAGAUGGAUCCGCGUCGCAUUAGCUAGUUGGUAAGGCAACGGCUUACCAAGGCAACGAUGCGUAGCCGACCUGAGAGGGUGAUCGGCCACACUGGAACUGAGACACGGUCCAG